rnacentral:rRNA from 1 species
GACGAACGCUGGCGGCGCGCCUAACACAUGCAAGUCGAGCGAUGAAAUUUUAACCGAUCUCUUCGGAGAGAAGAUAAAAUGGAUUAGCGGCGGACGGGUGAGUAACACGUGAGAAACCUGCCUUUCACAAGGGGAUAGCCUCGGGAAACCGGGAUUAAUACCCUAUGACACAUUUCCUUCGCAUGGAAGAAAUGUUAAAACUCCGGUGGUGAACGAUGGUCUCGCGCCUGAUUAGCGAGUUGGUGGGGUAACGGCCCACCAAGGCCAUGAUCAGUAACCGGCCUGAGAGGGUGAACGGUCACAUUGGAACUGAGACACGGUCCAAACUCCUACGGGAGGCAGCAGUGGGGAAUAUUGCACAAUGGAGGAAACUCUGAUGCAGCGACGCCGCGUGAGCGAUGAAGGCUUUCGAGUCGUAAAGCUCUGUCCUAUGGGAAGAUAAUGACGGUACCAUAGGAGGAAGCCCCGGCUAACUACGUG